rnacentral:rRNA from 1 species
CCUACGGGAGGCAGCAGUGGGGAAUAUUGCACAAUGGGGGAAACCCUGAUGCAGCGACGCCGCGUGAGUGAUGAAGUAAUUCGUUAUGUAAAGCUCUAUCAGCAGGGAAGAUAAUGACGGUAUCUGAGUAAGAAGCCCCGGCUAACUACGUGCCAGCAGCCGCGGUAAUACGUAGGGGGCAAGCGUUAUCCGGAUUUACUGGGGGUAAAGGGGGCGCAGGCGGCAGAGCAAGCCAGGGGUGAAAGCCUGGGGCCCAACCCCGGGACUGCUCGUGGAACUGGGAGUCUGGAGUGCAGGAGGGGCAGGCGGAAUUCCUGGUGUAGCGGUGAAAUGCGUAGAUAUCAGGAGGAACACCGGUGGCGAAGGCGACCUGCUGGA